CCUACGGGUGGCUGCAGUGAGGAAUAUUGGUCAAUGGGAGGAAUCCUGAACCAGCCAUGCCGCGUGCAGGACGACGGCUCUACGAGUUGUAAACUGCUUUUGUACCGGGGUAAAAUGCCUUACGUGUAGGGUUUUGAAAGUACGGUACGAAUAAGGAUCGGCUAACUCCGUGCCAGCAGCCGCGGUAAUACGGAGGAUCCGAGCGUUAUCCGGCUUUAUUGGGUUUAAAGGGUGCGUAGGUUGUUUUAUAAGUUAGCUGUGAAAGACCGAUGCUCAACAUCGGGGCUGCAGCUAAUACUGUAGGACUAGAGAUCGGAUGCAGCAGGCGGAAUGUGUAGUGUAGCGGUGAAAUGCAUAGAGAUUACACAGAACACCGAGUGCGAAGGCAGCUGGCUAGGCCGGAUCUGACACUGAUGCACGAAAGCGUGGGGAUCGAACAGGAUUAGAUACCCGAGUAGUC
rnacentral:rRNA from 1 species